GGAUCCUUCGGGGUUAGUGGCGGACGGGUGAGUAACACGUGGGAACGUGCCUUUAGGUUCGGAAUAAGCUCGGGAAACUGGGUCUAAUACCGAAUGUGCCCCCUGAUUUAUUUUGGGGUGGGAAAGAUUUAUCGCCUUUAGAGCGGCCCGCGUCUGAUUAGCUAGUUGGUGGUGUAAUGGACCCCCAAGGCGACGAUCAGUAGCUGGUCUGAGAGGAUGACCAGCCACAUUGGGACUGAGACACGGCCCAAACUCCUACGGGAGGCAGCAGUGGGGAAUCUUGCGCAAUGGGCGAAAGCCUGACGCAGCCAUGCCGCGUGUAUGAUGAAGGUCUUAGGAUUGUAAAAUACUUUCACCGGUGAAGAUAAUGACUGUAGCCGGAGAAGAAGCCCCGGCUAACUUCGUGCCAGCAGCCGCGGUAAUACGAAGGGGGCUAGCGUUGCUCGGAAUUACUGGGCGUAAAGGGAGCGUAGGCGGACAUUUAAGUCAGGGGUGAAAUCCCAGAGCUCAACUCUGGAACUGCCUUUGAUACUGGGUGUCUUGAGUGUGAUAGAGGUAUGU
rnacentral:rRNA from 1 species